UAAGACUUUAAGUUAAAAAAAACUGUGUACCUUCAAAGUAUAAAAUAUUUAAAUAUAAGUC
rnacentral:tRNA from 1 species